ensembl:lncRNA
GCUAUUCCAGGUGUAGCUGCAGAUCUACUUUUGCAGUGCUUCAGCUUGUCGUUUUUAUUUGGGUGGUGAGGAAGAUUUCUCCUAAAGAAAUGGAGAUGAAAAACAAAACCUAACAAAAUACACCAUUCAAAACAGAAGCUAAAAGACUUAGAGAAAGUAUACAAGGAAACACGAAACCUGCCUGUGAAAUGCAACCACUCCCCACCUAGAAAAAAAAAAGUGCCAUUGAGAACCCACUCUUAAGCUAACAACAAAAACAAUGAAUCAAUAAAGAGCAGGGAUUUCCUGUCUGUUACCAGUUUUGAUCUUGAAUAAUGACCAUUGAAGAAAGGCAUUGAACAAUUCCUUCCUAGGUUGUAGUGGAAAUGAAACAGUUUGGUGUUCAAGUUCUCCUCAGUUCAUGGGGUGGGGGCUGGGACCAGCUCACGUCUGUGUGAUUUCUAGCUAGUUUGCCAUUGGAAAUAAAGAAGAAUUUAAUUAUCAUUAUCACUCUCAUGGUAACUCUUCAGAAAUUGAGCAUAAAUAUGUGUAGGAGUAAAGUAAUAUCUGAAAGAACUUUGUCCCAACAUUCUCAGGAAGGCUAAAACUAAGUAUAGAGUAUCCACUGAAAAAGCUUGUGGAAGUUAUUGGGCACAUAAACACAGGGCAGGACAGCCCCAUAUUUUCUUUCUUUCUUUCUUUUUUUUUUUCAUAGAAUCAUAGAAUAUCUCAAGCUGUAGUGACCCGUAAGGAUCAGUGAGUCCAACUCCUGGCUUCACACAGGACCACCCAAAAAUCAGAUCCUAUGUUUGAGAUCAUUGUCCAGAUGCUUCUUGAUCUCUAGUUAUAUCACUUGUCACCUGAGAGAGGAGAUCAGCACCAAUUUUUUUUUUUUUAAUUUAAUUUCUAUGAUGUACAAAUAUAAUUCUAUGAUUCCUAUGUAAGCAAAAUUGUUACAUUUUGUUAACAUUUUGUAAUAAUGACAUUUCUGUUACUCAGAAUUACUGACAAUGCAUCUUUCACCCUUCC